GACAGAGGUGCCAAGCGUUAGGCGGAAUCACUGGGCUUAAAGCGUGUGUAGGCGGGCGAUCAAGUACCUUGUGAAAGCCCACGGCUCAACCGUGGAGGGUCAUUGGAAACUGGGGGACUUGAGUACAGAAGAGAAGAGUGGAAUUCCACGUGUAGCGGUGAAAUGCGUAGAGAUGUGGAGGAACACCAGUGGCGAAGGCGACUCUUUGGUCUGUAACUGACGCUGAGGCGCGAAAGCGUGGGGAGCAAACAGG
rnacentral:rRNA from 1 species